rnacentral:rRNA from 1 species
AAAGAAAGAGGGAGGCAGGCUUAACACAUGCAAGUCGAACGCACCUUUCGGGGUGAGUGGCAGACGGGUGAGUAACGCGUGGGAAUCUACCCUUCUCUACGGGAUAGCUCCGGGAAACUGGAAUUAAUACCGUAUACGUCCUGAGGGAGAAAGAUUUAUCGGGGAAGGAUGAGCCCGCGUUGGAUUAGCUAGUUGGUGGGGUAAAGGCCUACCAAGGCGACGAUCCAUAGCUGGUCUAAGAGGAUGAUCAGCCACAUUGGGACUGAGACACGGCCCAAACUCCUACGGGAGGCAGCAGUGGGGAAUAUUGGACAAUGGGCGCAAGCCUGAUCCAGCCAUGCAGCGUGAGUGAUGAAGGCCCUAGGGUUGUAAAGCUCUUUCAGUGGGGACGAUAAUGACGGUACCCACAGAAGAAGCCCCGGCUAACUUCGUG